UACGUAGGGUGCAAGCGUUGUCCGGAAUUAUUGGGCGUAAAGAGCUCGUAGGCGGUCUGUCGCGUCUGCUGUGAAAACUCGGGGCUUAACCCCGGGCCUGCAGUGGGUACGGGCAGACUAGAGUGCGGUAGGGGAGACUGGAAUUCCUGGUGUAGCGGUGAAAUGCGUAGAGAUCCGGAAGAACACCGGUGGCGAAGGCGGUUAGCUGGGCAGUUGCUGACACUGAGGCGCGACAGCGUGGGGAGCAAACAGG
rnacentral:rRNA from 1 species